rnacentral:rRNA from 1 species
AGAGUUUGAUCAUGGCUCAGGAUGAACGCUAGCUACAGGCCUAACACAUGCAAGUCGAGGGGCAGCAUGGUCUUAGCUUGCUAAGGCCGAUGGCGACCGGCGCACGGGUGAGUAACACGUAUCCAACCUGCCGUCUACUCUUGGACAGCCUUCUGAAAGGAAGAUUAAUACAAGAUGGCAUCAUGAGUCCGCAUGUUCACAUGAUUAAAGGUAUUCCGGUAGACGAUGGGGAUGCGUUCCAUUAGAUAGUAGGCGGGGUAACGGCCACCUAGUCUUCGAUGGAUAGGGGUUCUGAGAGGAGGUCCCCCGANAUUGGAACUGAGACACGGUCCAAACUCCUACGGGAGGCA